GACGUAGGGCGCGAGCGUUGUCCGGAUUUAUUGGGCGUAAAGAGCUCGUAGGCGGCUUGUCGCGUCGACUGUGAAAUCCCGCGGCUCAACUGCGGGUCUGCAGUCGAUACGGGCAGGCUAGAGUUCGGUAGGGGAGCCUGGAAUUCCUGGUGUAGCGGUGAAAUGCGCAGAUAUCAGGAGGAACACCGGUGGCGAAGGCGGGUCUCUGGGCCGAUACUGACGCUGAGGAGCGAAAGCGUGGGGAGCGAACAGG
rnacentral:rRNA from 1 species